rnacentral:rRNA from 1 species
UACGUAGGGUGCAAGCGUUGUCCGGAAUUAUUGGGCGUAAAGAGCUCGUAGGCGGUUUGUUGCGUCGGCUGUGAAAUCCCGAGGCUCAACCUCGGGUCUGCAGUCGAUACGAGCAAACUAGAGUGUUGCAGGGGAGACUGGAAUUCCUGGUGUAGCGGUGAAAUGCGCAGAUAUCAGGAGGAACACCGAUGGCGAAGGCAGGUCUCUGGGCCAUUACUGACAC